rnacentral:rRNA from 1 species
UACGAAGGGGGCUAGCGUUGUUCGGAUUUACUGGGCGUAAAGCGCACGUAGGCGGAUCGUUAAGUCAGGGGUGAAAUCCUGGAGCUCAACUCCAGAACUGCCUUUGAUACUGGCGACCUUGAGUUCGGGAGAGGUGAGUGGAACUGCGAGUGUAGAGGUGAAAUUCGUAGAUAUUCGCAAGAACACCAGUGGCGAAGGCGGCUCACUGGCCCGAUACUGACGCUGAGGUGCGAAAGCGUGGGGAGCAAACAGG